GUUCGGCUAGCUCAGUGGAUAGGGCAUGAGACUCUUAAUCUCAUGGUCGUGGGUUAGAGCCCCACGUUGGGCG
rfam:Danio rerio chromosome 4, GRCz11 reference primary assembly.